GGGAUUGUGGCGGAAUCGGCAGACGCGCACGUUUAAGGGGCGUGUGAGCAAUCGUAAGGGUUCAAGUCCCUUCAAUCCCACCA
rnacentral:tRNA from 1 species